UACGUAGGGUGCAAGCGUUAAUCGGAAUUACUGGGCGUAAAGCGUGCGCAGGCGGCGCCGCAAGUCAGGCGUGAAAUCCCCGAGCUCAACUUGGGAAUUGCGCUUGAAACUACGGUGCUGGAGUAUGGCAGAGGGAGGUGGAAUUCCAGGUGUAGCGGUGAAAUGCGUAGAUAUCUGGAGGAACAUCAGUGGCGAAGGCGACACCCUGGACUCAUACUGACACUGAGGUGCGAAAGCGUGGGGAGCAAACAGG
rnacentral:rRNA from 1 species